ensembl:lncRNA
CCAGUGCCAGAAGGAAACUAUACAUCUAAACAGUGUCUGAAAGUAGACCCAACUCCAUCUCCCAUCCUGAUCCCCCCCAGCACCAGGCAAAGGUUCCUUUGACCACACCAGCCUCUCAGGUUCCUUUGACCACACCAGCCACUCAGGUUCCUUUGACCACACCAGCCUCUCAGGUUCCUUUGACCACACCAGCCUCUCAGGUUCCUUUGACCACACCAGCCUCUCAGGUUCCUUUGACCACACCAGCCUCUCAGGUUCCUUUGACCUCACCAGCCUCUCAGGUUCCUUUGACCACAUCAGCCUCUCAGGUUCCUUUGACCACACCAGCCUCUCAGGUUCCUUUGACCACACCAGCCUCUCAGGUUCCUUUGACCACACCAGCCUCUCAGGUUCCUUUGACCACACCAGCCUCGCCCGUCCCACCUCCUUUCUUCUCCCCUUUUUUUCAUUUUCCACUUGACAACCCCCCCCUAGUCUCUUACACUUCCUCACUAUACUCUCCUCAUCCACUAGAAUAACCUGACUAGGCCCAGCCUCAUCUACACCACCAUCUAUAACCUGACUAGACUCAGCCUCAUCUACACCACCAUCUAUAACCUGACUAGACCCAGCCCCAUCUACCGCACCAUCUAUAACCUGACUAGACUCAUCUACACCACCAUCCAUAACCUGACUAGACCCAGCCCCAUCUACACCACCAUCUAUAA